CACGGGGGGAGCAAGCGUUGUUCGGAAUCAUUGGGCGUAAAGGGUGCGUAGGCGGCCGUGCAAGUCUGGCGUGAAAGCCCCGGGCUCAGCCCGGGAAGUGCGCUCGAAACUGCGCGGCUCGAGUGCCGGAGGGGAGAGUGGAAUUCCUGGUGUAGCGGUGAAAUGCGUAGAUAUCAGGAGGAAUACCGGUGGCGAAAGCGACUCUCUGGUUCAAUACUGACACUGAGAUGCGAAAGCGUGGGGAGCGAACGGG
rnacentral:rRNA from 1 species